rnacentral:rRNA from 1 species
UACAGAGGGGGCAAGCGUUGUUCGGAAUUACUGGGCGUAAAGGGCGCGUAGGCGGCCUUCUAAGUCAGACGUGAAAUCCCCGGGCUCAACCCGGGAACUGCGUCUGAUACUGGAUGGCUUGAAUCCGGGAGAGGGAUGUGGAAUUCCAGGUGUAGCGGUGAAAUGCGUAGAUAUCUGGAGGAACACCGGUGGCGAAGGCGGCAUCCUGGACCGGUAUUGACGCUGAGGCGCGAAAGCCAGGGGAGCAAAC